rnacentral:rRNA from 1 species
GACGAACGCUGGCGGCGUGCUUAACACAUGCAAGUCGAACGGAAAGGCCCUGCUUUUGUGGGGUGCUCGAGUGGCGAACGGGUGAGUAACACGUGAGUAACCUGCCCUUGACUUUGGGAUAACUUCAGGAAACUGGGGCUAAUACCGGAUAGGAGCUCCUGCUGCAUGGUGGGGGUUGGAAAGUUUCGGCGGUUGGGGAUGGACUCGCGGCUUAUCAGCUUGUUGGUGGGGUAGUGGCUUACCAAGGCUUUGACGGGUAGCCGGCCUGAGAGGGUGACCGGCCAAAUUGGGACUGAGGUACGGCCCAGAAUCCUACGGGAGGCAGCAGUGGGGAAUAUUGCACAAUGGGCGGAAGCCUGAUGCAGCAACGCCGCGUGCGGGAUGACGGCCUUCGGGUUGUAAACCGCUUUCGCCUGUGACGAAGCGUGAGUGACGGUAAUGGGUAAAGAAGCACCGGCUAACUACGUG